rnacentral:rRNA from 1 species
UUAAACAUGAGAGUUUGAUCCUGGCUCAGAAUCAACGCUGGCGGCGUGCCUAACACAUGCAAGUCGAACGCGAAAGCGGCUUCGGCCGCAAGUAGAGUGGCAAACGGGUGAGUAACGCGUGGGUGACCUACCUUCGAGUGGGGGAUAACGUUCCGAAAGGGGCGCUAAUACCCCAUAACAUCCUGUCUUUGGAAAGACGGUGAUCAAAGCUGGGGAUCGUAAGACCUGGCGCUUGUUGAGGGGCCCGCGUCCGAUUAGCUUGUUGGUGGGGUAAUGGCCCACCAAGGCGACAAUCGGUAGCCGGCCUGAGAGGGCGAUCGGCCACAUUGGGACUGAGACACGGCCCAGACUCCUACGGGAGGCAGCAGUGGGGAAUUGUUCGCAAUGGGCGCAAGCCUGACGACGCAACGCCGCGUGG